rnacentral:rRNA from 1 species
UGGGGAAUUUUGCACAAUGGGGGAAACCCUGAUGCAGCGACGCCGCGUGAUUUAGAAGGCCUUCGGGUUGUAAAAAUCUUUUUUACGGGAUGAAAAUGACAGUACCGUAAGAAUAAGGUCCGGCUAAAUACGUGCCAGCAGCCGCGGUAAUACGUAUGGACCGAGCGUUGUCCGGAAUCAUUGGGCGUAAAGGGUACGUAGGCGGCCUAGUAAGUUAGAAGUGAAAUAAUAUAGCUCAACUAUAUAAAGCUUUUAAAACUGCUAGGCUUGAGAGAUGGAAGGGACAGUGGAAUUCCUAGUGUAGCGGUGAAAUGCGCAGAUAUUAGGAAGAAUACCGGUGGCGAAGGCGACUUUCUGGUCAUCAUCUGACGCUGAGGUACGAAAGCGUGGGUAGCAAACAGG